UACGUAGGGGGGCUAGCGUUGUCCGGAAUCAUUGGGCGUAAAGCGCGUGUAGGCGGCCCGGUAAGUCCGCUGUGAAAGUCGGGGGCUCAACCCUCGAAAGCCGGUGGAUACUGUCGGGCUCGAGUACGGAAGAGGCGAGUGGAAUUCCUGGUGUAGCGGUGAAAUGCGCAGAUAUCAGGAGGAACACCAAUUGCGAAGGCAGCUCGCUGGGACGUUACUGACGCUGAGACGCGAAAGCUAGGGGAGCGAACAGG
rnacentral:rRNA from 1 species